UUAUAAAUCUCUAAUAUAACUGAAGUGAGAGGAAAAGAUGUUUUUGUAUGAAUCCUUUCUAAAUACAUGGAGAUAUUAACUAUCUGUCUAUAGAAUGCAAAUAUUAAAAAUUAAAUCAAAAAGUUAGUUAAAAGGUAUCUAAGAUGGCUAUAUGCUAAGCCUUGCCUUUAAUUUUUGGAUCUUCUUUUUCAAAUAUCUUGUCACGAUCCAAUAAAAAACACAUUUCAGUCAAACCAACAAAAAGAGGGAAAAAGGAUGUGCUCAGCCUCAUUCUGCCAUUAAGAGGAGGCGAAAUGCAUGGACGAUGACCCUUACCAUGAUUAUAUAUCCGAAGCGAACAUACAUCCCCAAAACACGUAAAUAUGUGUUAACUUAGGUAGUUAUUGACAAGUUCACAAUUAAUUAUUUAGAACUACUAUUUAACAAUUUACUAAAAUUAAUUAAUCAACAGGAGAAAAAAAGACAAUGUAAUUAAUUUUUUUUAAAGAAAAAAUGAUAGUUUACAAAAUCUAUCUAUAUCUAAUAAUAAAGGCAAAAAUUAUUACAUAUCAACAUUACAAAAAAAUUACAUUUAUCGUUAAAAAUUAAACAUUAAAAUAAUAAUUCAAAGUAUUUGUCAUUAGACAUUAAAACUUAAACAUUAAAAUAAAUAAUUUAGAAAAUGCAAAAGUCACACAAACUGCAUACUAAACUUCCUCCCAUGUCUUCAAAAACUGCAAAAAAAUAUUUCUAUUUUAUUUUAUUUUAAAAUUAAAAAAAUUGAUGUUAAUUCACUGAAAAACUUCCUUCUAUUUUGCUUUGAAUUUGAAUUUCUUUUAAUUUGCUUCAUGUUUUGACGGUUAUGUUUAGUUUCGGAUAUAUAUUUGACUACUUUUUCCUUUUACUUCUCAAUUUAAAACAAUAGUUUCGGGACAAAACAACACACAUUUUUUAUUGCAAAAAAAGAAAAACAAAUUACCACAAAUAACAUCAAAUUUACUACACAACUUACAGAUUGUCAUGGGAACGUUCAGAGUUUGGAAGUUCUUUAUGAUUUUGUUUCUUUUUUCAAAAUUUUUAUUUGUGAAUAUUGUUGUUUGUAGGUCAACAUUUUUAAAAUGUUUGAUCAUGUCUGGAUAAUGAUCAUAGGAGAACGAUAAUUAUAUUUAUCUUCUGGUGGAUUCAUGAUUUCUCUUCUAUUUUAUAGAUCUAUUGAAGAAUCUCCAUGACCGGUGAAGAAAUGCUUCAAAAGUUGUGGGUAAUUGAAUUCAGUGUAAGUGAGAAAGAGAUAACGUAACAUUUGAAAUGAACAUGAAAUUUACCUACCAUAGCUUUAACUCUGAUGUCUCAUUAGGUCUUUGAGGACUUCCCAUUAUUUAUGAUGGUCAUCCUAAGAAAUCUUUGUGAACUACUCCGUCGCCAACAUAUUCCUCCGGCCACCAGCAAAACCUAACGAGCGCCGCACCACCACGCCACUGCCUCCCUCCUCUCCUCUCUCCGCCACCUACAUCACCGGCGAAACCUCAUUAGCUCCACCUCCAGCCGCCACCAACAGCCGCUGCUUCGCCCCCUCAAUCCCGUUCCUGACGAAGACCAGCCCAGUCGCUCCGAUCAACGUCACCAACGGCGGCAACAACAAUACCAGCCGUCCCUCCAUUCUCUUUUCCAGCCAUUGUCGUCUCCACCAGCGCCACAGCCGCCGCUGUACUACAACAGUACCAGGCACCGUUUCCGCCUCCGUUACAGAUCUGGCUUGAGCAACCUUUUCCGGCGUAACAUCGGCCCAAAAUCACCGUCAGGCACCACUUUAUUGCACGAUUCUCCGGCGUAUCUACGGCGAUUUAGCUCACCGUCCGGUCAUACUUCCGUAGUAAACGAACAACAAGAAGAAGAAGAUAGAUAGGUACCAUCAUCAUCAUCAUCAUCUCAAAGAAGAAGAACACAAAGCGCGUUAAAAUUCGGUGACAUGAAUAUUAUUUCGGUAACACUAUUUCGGCGACUAAUUUGUACCGCAAAUUGCCAGAAUCCAGCGACUCAACCAAGUAUAAGGACACAACCCAUCUUCGAUCAGGUAAGGUCUUUCUUGAACAUGGCUCAGAACUGUGACUGAUCUCGCGUGACAGGGCCGGUGCUUGCUGGAUGUCAUGUUGGUCAUAUAUGCUCGUGUAUUUACAUAUGCGUUAUUUGAGCUAUAACGUAUUUUAAGAAGGGACAACAUUAGGUGAUGGAUUUUAAGACGAUACAAUAUUAGGCGAUGACAGUUUAUACAUGGGUCUUUUGGUACAUUGGAUUGAAUAAGUACGAAUUCCAACUCA